GUCAUGAUCUACCUGUCAUUUCAUCUUAUGACCUUUUAAUUUAUAUAGAAAAUGUUUAGAGGGUUUUUAUCGUUUAUAAUUGGAGUGUAUGCUGGAAUAUAUGUAUCCCAAAAUUAUGAUAUUCCUAAAGUAGGUGAUCCAGCGUCGUUGUACGAGAAGAUAAAACAAUACGCAGAUGAACAUAAGAAAAAAUAGUUUUGUUUUUUAUAGUUUUAUUAAUUUGUAAGACCUAAAUUUUAUUAUAAAUAAAAAGUAUUUUUUUGA